GCGCAACCUUCUUUGCCCUGCUCAUCUGCUUCCUCCUCCUCGUACCAAAUAAGAUGCCAAUGGCUGAAGCUUCAUUUUGCAAGAGGCUUGCCAAGAACUGGUCCGGGAUUGUUCCUCUGACAGGUGCUACAAUUAUUGCAAGUAUACAGAGCAUGUUUACUCCGGAGAAUGUAAUUGGAAUGGCAAUGGUCAGCAUCGUUAUUAUGCUUGCUACUGUGUCUACAACUGUUGAAAGCCUACUAUUUUCUGCAAUUUGCAACGUACUUUGUAUUCAAAUAAAGGCGAACAAUUCACUAGAAUUGCAUAUGUGCCGCCAAUAGUUGUUGUUCCUAUGUCAGUUGCUAAUAACGUACGGUGCUGUCUGUGUUAUCAUUGAAAAAUCACUGCUCAGUGAUAACUUAAUCAGUCUAUCCAUGUGUGUCUGUUGCGAUCUGUCUUGUAUUCAUUUAAAUAUAAAUGGACUACCUCUGUCCAAGUAUAAGGGUCAUCUUCUGUGAUUUCAA